rnacentral:rRNA from 1 species
UACGUAGGGGGCAAGCGUUGUCCGGAUUUAUUGGGCGUAAAGAGCGUGUAGGCGGCCAUACAGGUCAGCUGUGAAAACCCGAGGCUCAACCUCGGGCCUGCAGUGGGUACGGGCAGACUAGAGUGCGGUAGGGGAGAUUGGAAUUCCUGGUGUAGCGGUGGAAUGCGCAGAUAUCAGGAGGAACACCAAUGGCGAAGGCAGCACUCUGGGACGGUACUGACGCUGAGACGCGAAAGCGUGGGGAGCAAACAGG